UACGUACUUCCUCCGUUCCGAAUUACUUGUCGCAGGUAUGAUGUAUCUAGAUGUAUUUUAGUUUUAGAUACAUCCAUUUCUACGACGAGUAAUUUGAAACGGAGGGAGUAGCAG
rfam:Triticum aestivum genome assembly, contig: Triticum_aestivum_CS42_TGACv1_scaffold_603253_7DL